rnacentral:sRNA from 1 species
UCCACGCUUUGUGUAACCAGCUUCAUGGAGAUAUUGUGGUAUUUGUGUCGUUUUUCCUGAACCAGUGUCUCCCACAAUG